ACGAAGGGUGCAAGCGUUACUCGGAAUUACUGGGCGUAAAGGGUGCGUAGGUGGUUUUUUAAGUCUGCUGUGAAAUCCCCGGGCUCAACCUGGGAAUGGCAGUGGAUACUGGAGAGCUGGAGUGCGGUAGAGGGUAGUGGAAUUCCCGGUGUAGCGGUGAAAUGCGUAGAGAUCGGGAGGAACAUCAGUGGCGAAGGCGGCCAUCUGGGACAACACUGACGCUGAGGCACGGAAGCAUGGGGAGCGAACGGGA
rnacentral:rRNA from 1 species